UUGAAGUUCGAUAACGGACCUACUAAGUCUUCCAGAGAAGUACCUGCUUCUAUUGUAUAUGCACGAUCAGAUGUGGCUACUGCUAAGGCAAUUCAAUCUAAUGCAGUCAGUAUCUUCUAGUGCACUGGCUAGGCAGAUGGUUGUUUUUGAGGAUGAUGCAUCAAAUCUGAACUCAGCAUCAAAUUUGGUUAUUCUUAGCCAUUCCAAAU
rnacentral:lncRNA from 1 species